ensembl:lncRNA
UGAAAGCUCGCGGGGACACGCCCGCCGCGAUAACAGCAGUUUGUGUGGCUGGCUGGGUCCUACGACGAGUAGUCCGCGAUGAUGACUGAUGGUUAAACGGUCUUUGCUGACGCCACGGCUAGUUUGGAUGGAAUAACUUCUCUCACGUUGUUAACUGAUAACUAAACUAACUGGUUGCUUGCCUUCAUCCCGACGGCUUUAGCUUCCCGGCGGCGGUGCAACACCAGCGAGAUGUAAAGCAAGUUCACUACCGUAUGUUGAUAUGCUUCUGACAUAAAGAGGAGAGAAGAAGUGAGAGGCAGUGCUGAGGAAGAUGGAAGUGCAGAGCGAUGUUCAGCAUCUCGAGCCGCUCCCCCCCGCCGCCGCCGCCUCUCCCCCGCCGGGAGCCAAUCAGCGGAGUGAGUGUGAGGAGGGACACAGGGACACCGGGGCCUCCGCCGACAGCCACAGCGAGGACACUCCAGCCAGCCAGAGAGACGAGAUGAAAGCAAAAGGUGGCUCUCAGCUGCAGGGGCCGGCGUCUCCCCUCACGGUUUUCCACCCUCCCUAAUGGAG